GUUUUCCAAAUAGUUAAGAUGGCGUCCUGCUCCUCCCCACCCCUUGAUUUCUUCCCCAAGUAGGUGCAACACUGCUCCUGGUAGCUGGCUGGAAUUCCAAGACUGUGGGCUUUAUCUUGUGAGAUGUUGUGGAAAUGAGGCCCGCAGAUCAUCACUGCUCAGCCCACUGAAUUCAGCCUCUUUCGUAGUGCACAAUGCUGCAGUUCAUUUCACAGCUGAGAAAACCAGGAGCCAGACAGAAUAAGGGACAGCCAAAUUUAUUGAGACUCUGGACAAAUAUGAUGCCAAAUGCAGCUGCUCUUGGAACUCACGGCUUCCCAAACCUCAGGAGACACAGAUCCCUAUCCUUGUUGACCUGAGUCGUUGAAAACAGACUGGCCUAUUUACUAGGGUAAGUUAACUACAAAUCAUAACAAAGACUCCAUCCUUGACCUCUUCUUGCACAUGAGUCAGCUUGAAAGG
rnacentral:lncRNA from 10 species